rnacentral:rRNA from 1 species
ACGAGCUUCUAGCUUAAAACCCAAAGGACUUGACGGUACCCCACCCUACUAGAGGAGCCUGUUCUAUAAUCGAUAACCCACGAUAUACCAAACCAUUUCUUGCCCCAGCCUGUAUACCUCCGUCGUAAGCUUACCCUGUAAAUGCACAUAGUAGGCUCAAAGGCCUAACACCCAAACGUCAGGUCAAGGUGCAGCCUAUGAAAUGGAAGCUAUGGGCUACAAUUUCUAAUCUAGAACUAAUCAAAAUACUAUAUGAAACAUAGUUAUAAAGAAGGAUUUAGCAGUAAAUAAGGAAUAGAGAGCCUUAUUAAACCUGAGCUCUGGGGUAUGUACACACC